rnacentral:lncRNA from 1 species
AUGGUCAAAACUAAGAAACCCGCCCCUGUGGAGGGAAAGCGGAAAUCAGAUCGGAUUGCGGCGAAACAAGCAGCAGCCGGGGAGCAGAAGAAAGUGGUGAAAAAAAGUAGUGCACCCAAAUCAAAGAAGAAAGCAGCCCAGAAUGGGAACAACAGUACUGAGGUUGGUUUCUUUAAAAGGCCCCAAUAUUGUUUUGGUCAUAAUAAAAUUGAUACUAAUAUAAAUUAUGUCUACAGGAGCCAAAAGCGGAAGCCACAGAUACCCAAUAAGCAGCAGUUGAUGUGCUUACUCUGUGUACUUGGUGAUUGUACAGUUUUAAAAAAAAAAAAAAGUAUUUUUUACCAAGUUUUUUUUUUAUUAUUACAAAUGUCAUUUAUAGGUUUGUUUUGGGCUUGCACUUGAUGUAACAAAAGAUUUUUUUGUCACAGUCAUAUCCAUUUGUAAGCAAUGACCGUCCAUAUCUUACAGAGGUGGUGUUCUGUUUCUUUCUUUUUUAGUUAAUUCAUUUAUUUUUAAGCAGCUUGCUCAUCAAUGCUUUCCAACAAAAUGAACUUUAAAUUCUAAACAUGAGGCAGCUAAACCUUAUUGUCAAAUUUUAGGAAGAAAAUGUUCUUGUUUCAUUUUUUUCUCCUAUUUUCCAAUUAAACUAAUACAAAUGCUUACCAAAUGUUUUGGAACAUUGUAUGUUGACUUAAGAUCUAUACGUUGAGAAUAUGAGAGCUGGCUUUAGCGUAAACUUUUGAUAAGUCCCCAAAACAUGUUUGUUGUGAAUGUUGUCAUUUGAUGCUAUAUAUGUUUCUGAUUGGGGAAAGAAAACUUUUCUGACUUCAAUGGUUGAUCUAAAUGUUCAUGAAUAAAGAGCCUGAAAAGGUCCUGGUUGCAGCUGAUGUGUCGUAGCUCAACGCCGCCACUAGGGGGCAGUGUCGCGGCGUUGAGAGUUGCCUGCUCUCGUUUUAGCUUCCGCUGGGGGGCGCACCUUUCCAGAGCAAGAUCAUGUAGGUCAAAUAUGCGUUGUUUUUAAACCUAAUGCUCUGUCUUGCUUUUUUCUUUAAUUUCACUUAGUUCUACAUUUAUGCGUAACAAAACUUUUUGUUUCCAGCAUUCUGGGACGUCAGAGGUUACUUGCAUAAACGCAUGUAAUUUAAGAUCAGUUAAAACGUUUCCAUGGUUCCUGAUGGUUUUGUUUGUUUUGGCAAUUUAAAAAAAAAAAUUUGCAGCAAUCUCGGAGGUCAUAGAUUCCAUGCACUGAAAACACAUUUAACCUGCCUAAAACUAUAUUGGAUGGUCAUUUUAGUGUAAAUAAAAAAACAAUCGUAAAAUCCUCCAAACUAAAUGAUAUUGUUCAUGUUUAUGAAGUACAUGCACAAUCCUGCCAAGAAAGAGGAAUAUUUACACUUGGCAGUAAAUGUACAUGUAUUUGCAUUGGGGGGAAAAAACUAUUUAAAUACUUACGUGCAGAUAAACAUUAAGAAACCCUGUCAAUGUAACUGAAGCACCUCCACCGGACGUCAGCGUUCCUAAACGAACCUGGACCUUUAAAUCUCUAUAAAACUCACUGGGGUGCCUUUAGUCUUCGGAUCUAAGGCUAAAAGGCCAAAAUGACAUUCAUUAAUUUGGCAGAUGGAGCGCGGAUGAAAACACCGGAAACACGUUAGAACAUGACUCAAAAAUAAGAACAAUAUGCUAUAUGAAGCAAACUUUAAAGAAAACCCGGAUUGCGGUUAUACCCUGCACUUUUACAUGGCGUGUUCAGUCACUGCUUAAUUGUAGAGCUUUAAACCAUCAAAUUACUCAAGCCUUAAACUGCUGAGUAACGAAACAUUGAAAACAACAGAGAUGCAGGGCGAAUUUAACUUUGAACUUUAUUUGAAAAGUGAGCAACGUCCCCCAUAGCUUUAUCCCCCUGGAUUUCGCCCGGAAAUGGAUCAUUGACAUGUGUGACGCGCUUCGCGUGUCCACAAGCAUGUGUCUGAUCCCCGGUUGAAGGCCCCACCCCAUGCACACGCACACACACGCGCCUUCGUGCCGGCUCCUAUAAAACCUUGCAUUUUGAACAACGUGUCCCAUCCGUCCGGAACAGCUGACCCUCUACCUGAACCCGCGCAGCCACGCUCACCUGCAGCCGCCGGUAAGUUUUCACGUGAACUGUUCCUCCAGAGGGGGUAAAAGGGGGUAAAACAGCCUGAGCAACCCCUGCGACGAGCCUCCAAUCAGUCCCUGUCCGGGGAAGACUCACGGGGUUGCUAGUUGACUUUUCUUAAAAAGUGUUUUUCCAGGCGCUUUUAAACUUUUGCGCACGUGUUUUGGUUUUGUGGCUUGUUUUUGUUUAUUUAUUGUAGGGUUGACCGAGGAAAAAUAAUCAAUUCUUUCAGUGCUUGCAGUUAAUACAUUGCAGUUUUUUUCUUUGCAAACAGGAGCGUAAAGACCAAGGCAAGAAUCAAAGCAAGUUCCUUUGUCCUUCUGAGCAAUGAGACUGUUGAAGAGUUUCAUCUAUGUUCUAGUCGCCUUGUAGCCUAACCUGUACAUUUUGUACCCUAGCAAUCUAUAGGAUGGCAUCAUGGGGGGGGGGCUCUUUACAGCGCCGUUGGAUUAAACAUGACAACACUUUUAGCUUUUCACUAGGAUCAAAGUUAGAUCCUUUUUUGUCACUCAUUGGCCAGUGUUUCAUCUGAAUAUUAUAGUGUAGCAUUUUAGUCCCUCGUGGGGUUUAUGCAACAGUGCAGUGACUGGAUUUUUAACAAUAGAACGUCAGCAUAUAGGCUACAUCACAGUCCAGGUAGGGUACCAAACAAAUCGGUAGCAUCACUAGACCAAAUUCCACCAAUGGGGAACUGUUUGUUUAUAGGAAAAUGGCUGUUUAUUUAUAUAUCCUUGCUUGCUUUCCAGAGAUCGCCCAUCUGUAGGUCAGGAGCAUGCAUUCAGCAAAGUGACACCAGGCGGUAGGACCAAGUAGGCUGUGCUCCAGUUUCAUUGGCUGUUGAGGUUGAGUACACCAUGUACCCAGUAAAUGCUCUUCAGGCUUUAAUAAUGACUGAAACCACCUAACUCAAUCAUUUUUCAUAAAGCCUUUCCUCACAUAAUCAUCAGUUUAUGACCAGGUUUGAAAAGAGAGUUGGAGUUUUGUCGAUGAGAGAUCAAAUGCCUUUUGCUUUGGUUCCCUUCAGGGUGUAGUCGGUGGUUUCAUGCUUGCCACAAACUUGCUGAUGAGCCUGUUGGCAGCAGCUGUUUCUCACUGUAGAUAAUCAGACGCAGAAAUGUGGAGACACCCCUGUGCAUUCCAGCUGAAUCAUCAUCAGACAAAAUAGUUCUCAGGUGAUUCACCUGAAGUGUUUUUACAGUGUGUAAAGCACAGCUGCUCGACUACCAGAAGGUGAGCAUUAUAUUCUCGUCCGGUCGUCUUUAUCCAUUUCGGGGUCACAGGGAGGGUGCACAGUAGUCUGUCUUCUGAAUACGAGGUUUGUUUUUUGUUUUGGGGGAGUGGAUCUAGCUACACCCUGUCUUCUAAUUUGGGAUUGGACCAAUAACCACUGGAAUAAAGCAAAGACUUGUGUAAUUUAUAGUCCAUGUGUAGCAAACGCAAGUGUUGGUUCAAUGAAAUGGAAAUGGAUUAUGUAACCCGGGGGUCUGAUGUAACAAAUAGAGGUGCGUUAACAAAUGUUAGAGAGAAGUCUGCAUUUUUAUUUUAUUUUUUUGUCUGCCUUGUUCUUCCUGGCGUCGCUUUUAUUUUCUCGCGCAGCAUCUGAUGGCGUUGACGCGACGAGCUGUUUACGUAACCCUGCCCUUUAACAUGUAGCUGUGUCGCCAGGCGCACCGCUGCGCUGGAUUAUUCUCCUAUCAUUCGUCUUCACUAAAUGACCAGCUCACAUCUAAUUGCAGACAAAAGGGUCUUGUUUUGGUCAUUUGAAGGUGCUUGGAAAGGGGGGCGUGUUUGGGGAAAAGUAACCUGCUGAAAGUAAUGUUUUGUGACAGCGAUGGGUGGGGGCUGUAGGCAAGCUCGCAGAUCUGGUUGGGCGAGAGCUCGGCUGUAUAAAAAGGCAGAGCGCAGCACAGAAACGCACCCUGAAGUUGGAGUUUGCCACCGAGCUUGACAUCUGUUAGGAUUCCCUGCCUGAUCGGGUGCUCGGUGGGCUCCUGGUCACUUUUGGCUUUUCUGUUUUAGCCUUCCCAAGGCUACUGGAAGGUGAGGAAUCGCGGCAUGCAACCAUAAUAACGGUUAUUUAUAAAAGCUUUAACUACCAAUAAUGAUCUGGAAAGUGGCGAAACCCUCCAGGUUGAUGUUUGAAGGGGUUGUCUGCAUAAAUCUCCAAAUGGAACAUAUAAUGGCUAAAAGUGUUGUCUCCUGAUGUUGCACAGGUAGUGUUAAGAGUUCAGUUUAUGCAAUUUAAAAGUUCUGCCUGCUCUUCGUGAAAUGCCUUGUGAGAGCAUCAUGUUCCCCAGCUUUGCACCCGUUCAGAUGGUCCACUUUGCAGUUGGAGGCUCCUCACUCUUUGGUACAUCGUGUUCUCAUGUCACCCUUUCAGACGCUCAGUCCUUGCAGAAUUUGCCCGAUUAAAAUGGUUCGAUGCUUCUCCCCAGUAUUUUUUUCUCCCCAGUAUGAAAGAUCUGCGUUCAUCUAGUCCCAAAUUGCACAUUUGCCAUCGUAUCACGCAUUUUUUAUCAAGGUUUUAUUUAUUAUUUUUUAUCAAGGUUUCCAUAAACUGGUGACGUUAUUUGGUCGGGUUAUGACGCAGUAUAAAUGGAUGCUUUGUCCCCUCUGUUCUAAACCCGGUGCAUCGGAGUUCUGUGGCAAUGUUUUUGUUUUGAUUUUUUGUCAACAUGGUCCCAAAAUAUUUCCAUAUGUGAAAUGUCUUCUGUCCAGCGAGUCUAAUCCUGUUCCAUGGCUGCAGGCAGGAGUUGUUCCCUCCUCGUUCACCGAGUCAUUUGAUUUUUGGCAGCUGCAGCUCUGAACUCGGAGCGUUCACAGAAAUCCGACUGCGUUCCCGCCUGAUGCUUCAGUCUCUAAUCUGCCGUUAUGCCUUUUUGUUUUUUUAAAACAGAGCGAUCCAGGUGUUUUCCACAAGUCACUACCAAUCCCAUCAGACAUGAUCAUCAAACUGGGAAGGCUGACACCUGGAUAUUUCCGUCUCCUGCAGGUAUUUUUCACUUCACCACAACUGGAAACUAACACAACUCAAGUGGACCCAAAUAUAACCUGUUCAAUGUUUCUUUGUGUUCCACCGAUCGGCUUUUUGGG